GAUGAACGCUGGCGGCGUGCCUAAUACAUGCAAGUCGAGCGAAGCGGGGACGGGUGAGUAACACGUGGAUAACCUCCUAUAAGACUGGGAUAACUUCGGGAAACCGGAGCCAAACCGGCUUCAUAUAGAUGGAUUCGCUCUGCAUUAGCUAGUUGGGAAGCUAACGGCUUACCAAGGCAACGAUGCAUAGCCGACCUGAGAGGGUGACCGGCCACACUGGAACUGAGACACGGUCCAGACUCCUACGGGAGGCAGCAGUAGGGAAUCUUCCGCAAUGGGCGAAAGCCUGACGGAGCAACGCCGCGUGAGUGAAGAAGGUCUUCGGAUCGUAAAGCUCUGUUAUUGGGGAAGCGGUACCUAAUCAGAAAGCCACGGCUAACUACGUGCCAGCCGCCGCGGUAAUUC
rnacentral:rRNA from 1 species